rnacentral:lncRNA from 14 species
CUGAAGGAUGCCUCUGGAAUUGGAUUAUCUACAGAGAAACAGGAAGGGAUCACCCACAGGCUCCUGGUGAGACAUCAUCUGUUAGUCCUCAGGUAACAGACCUCCUGGUGCCAUGACCUCUCACCAUGGAGGUGAGUUACUUCAA